UGCCCAGCAACUCCUAUCCCUACCUCUUCGCGGUAUUGGCCGGGAAGAUCGGGUAACGAACCCCGGUAGGAGCUUUGAUCGUAUGCGGACAGGGAAUUGG
rnacentral:ribozyme from 1 species